UACGUAGGAUGCAAGCGUUGUCCGGAAUUAUUGGGCGUAAAGAGCGCGCAGGCGGUAUGACAAGUCAGAUGUGAAAGAGGCCGGCUUAACCGGCAAGGGUCAUUUGAAACUGUCAGACUAGAGUGCAGCAGAGGAUAGUGGAAUUCCCGGUGUAGUGGUGAAAUGCGUAGAUAUCGGGAGGAACACCAGUGGCGAAGGCGACUAUCUGGCCCAACAUUGACGCUGAGACCCGAAAGCGUGGGGAUCGAAACAAGGAGUUAGUAAUACCCCUGGU
rnacentral:rRNA from 1 species